UGUGACUAUAUGCGACAUUAUAUAUGUCUCACUAUAUGUGUCUUGGGGGGUUAUAUGUGUCACCCUAUAUGUGUCUUGGGGGUUAUAUGUGUCUCACUAUAUGUGUCUAGGGGGUUAUAUAUGUGUCUCACUAUAUGUGAGAUAUGCGACAUAUAUAUAUAUAUGACUAUAUGCGACAUUAUAUGUGUCUCACUAUAUGUGUCUUGGGGGGUUAUAUGUGUCACCCUAUAUGUGACUAGGGGGGGUUAUAUGUGUCACCCUAUAUGUGUCUAGGGGGGUUAUAUGUGUCUCACUAUAUAACUUACCCUAUAUAUGUGUCUUGGCACAUGACUGGUCUUUGACUCGUAUACCAUGUAGCGUGUUACUGGAUUUAAAUCUGAAUCCUUAAAAAGGCAGUUUUACCAUCCGUAUGACAUAUCCUCGGGUCCGGAUAUUUUGCGAAUCACCAAGAAGUACAAAAUUCGGACAUCUGUAUUCAAGAAUUCAACCAGAUUGCAGAGAUAAAAAAGACACGUGAGAAACACUUGAGAUACAUCAGAAACACGCGGAGAACACAUGCAAUAAUGGCUACUUGACAAAAUCUAUUCAUUUGAUCACGGG